AUGACCUGCCCACUGAUUGAAGGGCCGCGGUAAUUUGACCGUGCGAAGGUAGCAUAAUUAUUAGUCUUUUGAUUGGAGGCUGGAAUGAAUGGUUGGACGAGAUAUAUUCUGUAUGAAUUUAAUUAUUAGGUUAAAAAGCUUAAAUUUUUUUUUGGGACGAGAAGACCCUAUAGAUUUUUGUAUAUUUUAUUGGGGUGAUAGGAGGAUAAUAAACUUUUAUUAGAUCCAGUUGAUUAUAAGAUUAAAUUACCUUAGGGAUAACAGCGUAAUCUUUUUUGAGAGUUCAAAUCGACAAUAAGGGUUGCGACCUCGAUGUUGGAUUAAAA
rnacentral:rRNA from 1 species